GACGAACGCUGGCGGCGUGCUUACACAUGCAAGUCGAACGGAAAGGCCCUGCUUUUGUGGGGUGCUCGAGUGGCGAACGGGUGAGUAACACGUGAGUAACCUGCCCUUGACUUUGGGAUAACUUCAGGAAACUGGGGCUAAUACCGGAUAGGAGCUCCUGCUGCAUGGUGGGGGUUGGAAAGUUUCGGCGGUUGGGGAUGGACUCGCGGCUUAUCAGCUUGUUGGUGGGGUAGUGGCUUACCAAGGCUUUGACGGGUAGCCGGCCUGAGAGGGUGACCGGCCACAUUGGGACUGAGAUACGGCCCAGACUCCUACGGGAGGCAGCAGUGGGGAAUAUUGCACAAUGGGCGGAAGCCUGAUGCAGCAACGCCGCGUGCGGGAUGACGGCCUUCGGGUCGUAAACCGCUUUCGCCUGUGACGAAGCGUGAGUGACGGUAAUGGGUAAAGAAGCACCGGCUAACUACGUGCCAGCAGCCGCGGUGAUACGUAGGGUGCGAGCGUUGUCCGGAUUUAUUGGGCGUAAAGGGCUCGUAGGUGGUUGAUCGCGUCGGAAGUGUAAUCUUGGGGCUUAACCCUGAGCGUGCUUUCGAUACGGGUUGACUUGAGGAAGGUAGGGGAGAAUGGAAUUCCUGGUGGAGCGGUGGAAUGCGCAGAUAUCAGGAGGAACACCAGUGGCGAAGGCGGUUCUCUGGGCCUUUCCUGACGCUGAGGAGCGAAAGCGUGGGGAGCGAACAGGCUUAGAUACCCUGGUAGUCCACGCUGUAAACGGUGGGUACUAGGUGUGGGGUCCAUUCCACGGGUUCCGUGCCGUAGCUAACGCUUUAAGUACCCCGCCUGGGGAGUACGGCCGCAAGGCUAAAACUCAAAGGAAUUGACGGGGCCCCGCACAAGCGGCGGAGCAUGCGGAUUAAUUCGAUGCAACGCGUAGAACCUUACCUGGGUUUGACAUGGAUCGGGAGUGCUCAGAGAUGGGUGUGCCUCUUUUGGGGUCGGUUCACAGGUGGUGCAUGGCUGUCGUCAGCUCGUGUCGUGAGAUGUUGGGUUAAGUCCCGCAACGAGCGCAACCCUUGUUCACUGUUGCCAGCACGUUAUGGUGGGGACUCAGUGGAGACCGCCGGGGUCAACUCGGAGGAAGGUGGGGAUGACGUCAAGUCAUCAUGCCCCUUAUGUCCAGGGCUUCACGCAUGCUACAAUGGCUGGUACAGAGAGUGGCGAGCCUGUGAGGGUGAGCGAAUCUCGGAAAGCCGGUCUCAGUUCGGAUUGGGGUCUGCAACUCGACCUCAUGAAGUCGGAGUCGCUAGUAAUCGCAGAUCAGCAACGCUGCGGUGAAUACGUUCCCGGG
rnacentral:rRNA from 1 species